rnacentral:lncRNA from 1 species
UUUGAAUCUAUUUUGUUUUAUUCCAUUUUGUUUUAUUUUUACCUUUUUUUUAAUAACUGUUUAGGCGUUUGUACAUUCCGCAAAGUAAUAAAGUAACAAGUAGCCAAAACUUAAAAAUCGAAAUAACAAAUGAAAAAGGUUACAAUGUAACGAAUUACUUUUUUUAUGCAAAAAUAAACUGUCCUAUAACAUACACAGAUAUAGAAAAUGAGCUAAUUCUUACGCAAGUUGAUCAAUUAAAACAAGAAGACAAUGAUAAAACAAAAAUAAAUGCAAAUAAUAAUUUAAACAAUUUUAAUUUGUUAAAUGUUAAUAAUAAUAAUAAUGGUAAAUCCACAGGGUUUACUUAUCAAAAUAAACUCGGACGCUUUUUACUUUUAAUAAUUAUUAUAUAUUAUAUAUACAUAUAUAUAUGUAUUUUUUAAUAUAUAUAUAUAUAUAUAUUGACACAUUUUAUGUUUUAAAAAAAUUCAGCUGUUUUAUGUUAGUCAUGCAAGUUAUUAAAAUUAAUUUUGUUAUGUAUGUUUAUAUUUUUAACGCAAUUCUUCCGCUAGGCCAUUCGUUUCUUCGGUCUUUUUUUUUUUUUUUUUUUUUUUUUUUUUUUCUACUUUUUUUUUUUUUUUAUUAUCUUUAUUUAUUUUUUUUUCUUUUAAAUAAUUAUUUUUUUUUACUUUUAAUAUACUUAAAUAGUUAUUUAUAUUAUGACAUAAUUCAUUGUAUUCGUUACUGUCUUUGUUAACAUUCUUGUUUUUGUUGUUGCUUUUUUUACUUUUCUCUGACAAUAAAUAUGGUAAAAUAAUAUCA